rnacentral:rRNA from 1 species
GCGAGCGGCGGACGGGUGAGUAAUGCCUAGGAAUCUGCCUGGUAGUGGGGGAUAACGCUCGGAAACGGACGCUAAUACCGCAUACGUCCUACGGGAGAAAGCAGGGGACCUUCGGGCCUUGCGCUAUCAGAUGAGCCUAGGUCGGAUUAGCUAGUUGGUGAGGUAAUGGCUCACCAAGGCGACGAUCCGUAACUGGUCUGAGAGGAUGAUCAGUCACACUGGAACUGAGACACGGUCCAGACUCCUACGGGAGGCAGCAGUGGGGAAUAUUGGACAAUGGGCGAAAGCCUGAUCCAGCCAUGCCGCGUGUGUGAAGAAGGUCUUCGGAUUGUAAAGCACUUUAAGUUGGGAGGAAGGGCAGUUACCUAAUACGUAUCUGUUUUGACGUUACCGACAGAAUAAGCACCGGCUAACUCUGUGCCAGCAGCCGCGGUAAUACAGAGGGUGCAAGCGUUAAUCGGAAUUACUGGGCGUAAAGCGCGCGUAGG